UGUGGUGUAUUGGACAGAAACGGAAGGUAU
rnacentral:piRNA from 1 species